CCGUACUAGAUGGGGAACUAGCGGUGCCCUGUAACCUGCAAUCCGCUAUAGCAGGAUUGAUGCUCGGUCUAGACAUUUAAGCGUAUUGGUCUGACCUUGAUAAGUGGUGUUGACGAAUGGGUCUUGCGCAACAGAAAUCUAUGAACCUCGUCAGGUCCGGGAGGAAGCAGCGAUAAGUAGACAAUUCUGUGUGCCGCAAGGUCGCCUAUUCCGAGCUAACUGUCAAGGUAACGCAUUGCUCUUAAUUGGCAAAACCGGGCGUACGG
rnacentral:SRP_RNA from 1 species